rnacentral:rRNA from 1 species
UACGUAGGUCCCGAGCGUUGUCCAGAUUUAUUGGGCGUAAAGCGAGCGCAGGUGGUUUAUUAAGUCUGGUGUAAAAGGCAGUGGCUCAACCAUUGUAUGCAUUGGAAACUGGUAGACUUGAGUGCAGGAGAGGAGAGUGGAAUUCCAUGUGUAGCGGUGAAAUGCGUAGAUAUAUGGAGAAACACCGGUGGCGAAAGCGGCUCUCUGGCCUGUAACUGACACUGAGGCUCGAAAGCGUGGGGAGCAAACAGG